GCAGACCACUCCUACGGGAGGCAGCAGUGGGGAAUAUUGCACAAUGGGCGCAAGCCUGAUGCAGCCAUGCCGCGUGUAUGAAGAAGGCCUUCGGGUUGUAAAGUACUUUCAGCAGUGAGGAAGGUGGGUAUGUUAAUAGCAUACUCAUUUGACGUUAGCUGCAGAAGAAGCACCGGCUAACUCCGUGCCAGCAGCCGCGGUAAUACGGAGGGUGCGAGCGUUAAUCGGAAUUACUGGGCGUAAAGCGCAUGCAGGUGGUUUGUUAAGUCAGAUGUGAAAGCCCGGGGCUCAACCUCGGAAUUGCAUUUGAAACUGGCAAACUAGAGUACUGUAGAGGGGGGUAGAAUUUCAGGUGUAGCGGUGAAAUGCGUAGAGAUCUGAAGGAAUACCGGUGGCGAAGGCGGCCCCCUGGACAGAUACUGACACUCAGAUGCGAAAGCGUGGGGAGCAAACAGGAUUAGAUACCCUGGUAG
rnacentral:rRNA from 1 species